rnacentral:rRNA from 1 species
UUGUCGAAUUCCUGCAAAAGCAGACUGCGAACACGUUAAACCACAUUGGGAUCGCGGGUCUUGGGGUAGAUCCUUUGCCCGCUCCUUCCUCUCGCACUGCGUUCGCCUCCGCGCGCGUGGUGCGCGAGCUAACGAACCCCGGCGCGGCAUGCGCCAAGGAAAACUCACAGAAGCGUCUGCCUCCCUAUGCCCCGUUCGCGGUGUGCGGUGGGGGAGCUGAUGUCUCUCCAAAGUCAUAACGACUCUCGGCAACGGAUAUCUCGGCUCUCGCAUCGAUGAAGAACGUAGCGAAAUGCGAUACUUGGUGUGAAUUGCAGAAUCCCGUGAACCAUCGAGUCUUUGAACGCAAGUUGCGCCCGAAGCCAUUCGGCUGAGGGCACGUCUGCCUGGGCGUCACGCAUCGCGUCGCCUCCCGCACCUUCUCCCCUCGGGACAAUAGGGUGUAGGGGGCGGAAAUUGGCCUCCCGUGCGAUAAGCCGCGCGGCCGGCCUAAAUACGAACCCGAGGCCAUUCGCGUCACGACCAGUGGUGGUUGAACACUCAACUCGCGUGCUGUCGUGCCAUUUCGAGUAGGCCGUUGGGCUUCGUUGCAGACCCACUGGGGCGGUCCUAUCGCCCCUUCGACCGCGACCCCA